GAGCCUGAGAAACGGCUACCACAUCUAAGGAAGGCAGCAGGCGCGUAAAUUACCCAAUCCUAACUCAGGGAGGUAGUGACAAGAAAUAACGGACUGAGGCUUAUGCUUCAGGAUUGCAAUGAGUAGAAUUUACACCCCUUUAUGAGGACCAAUUGGAGGGCAAGUCUGGUGCCAGCAGCCGCGGUAAUUCCAGCUCCAAUAGCGUAUAUUAAAGUUGUUGCAGUUAAAAAGCUCGUAGUUGGAUUUCUGGGAGGGUGCCAAUGUCCGCUUGUUGCGUGUGCAGCGGCGCCCUUCCAUCCUUCUGUUAACGUUUCACGGUAUUAACUUACUGGUUGCGGGCUCAGAUAUUUUACCUUGAGAAAAUUAGAGUGUUUCAGGCAGGCUUGCGCCCGAAUACAUUAGCAUGGAAUAAUAGAAUAGGACUUCGGUCACCUUUGUUGGUUUGAGGGACUGGAGUAAUGAUUAAUAGGGACAGUUGGGGGCAUUAGUAUUUAAUUGUCAGAGGUGAAAUUCUCGGAUUUGUUAAAGACUAACUUAUGCGAAAGCAUUUGCCAAGGAUGUUUUC
rnacentral:rRNA from 1 species